rnacentral:rRNA from 1 species
UACGAAGGGGGCUAGCGUUGCUCGGAAUCACUGGGCGUAAAGGGUGCGUAGGCGGGUCUUUAAGUCAGGGGUGAAAUCCUGGAGCUCAACUCCAGAACUGCCUUUGAUACUGAAGAUCUUGAGUUCGGGAGAGUGAGUGGAACUGCGAGUGUAGAGGUGAAAUUCGUAGAUAUUCGCAAGAACACCAGUGGCGAAGGCGGCUCACUGGACUGGUAUUGACGCUGAGGUGCGAAAGCGUGGGGAGCGAACAGG